CCUACGGGUGGCAGCAGUGAGGAAUAUUGGUCAAUGGACGAGAGUCUGAACCAGCCAAGUAGCGUGAAGGAUGACUGCCCUAUGGGUUGUAAACUUCUUUUAUAUGGGAAUAAAAUGUUCCACGUGUGGGUUUUUGUAUGUACCAUAUGAAUAAGGAUCGGCUAACUCCGUGCCAGCAGCCGCGGUAAUACGGAGGAUCCGAGCGUUAUCCGGAUUUAUUGGGUUUAAAGGGAGCGUAGGUGGAUUGUUAAGUCAGUUGUGAAAGUUUGCGGCUCAACCGUAAAAUUGCAAUUGAUACUGGCAGUCGUGAGUACAGUUGAGGUAGGCGGAAUUCGUGGUGUAGCGGUGAAAUGCUUAGAUAUCACGAAGAACUCCGAUUGCGAAGGCAGCUUACUAAACUGCCACUGACAUUGAUGCUCGAAAGUGUGGGUAUCAAACAGGAUUAGAUACCCGAGUAGUC
rnacentral:rRNA from 1 species